AUUGAACGCUGGCGGCAUGCUUUACACAUGCAAGUCGAACGGCAGCACGGGGGCAACCCUGGUGGCGAGUGGCGAACGGGUGAGUAAUACAUCGGAACGUGUCAUAAAGAGGGGGAUAACGUAUCGAAAGAUGUGCUAAUACCGCAUAUUCUCUAAGGAGGAAAGCAGGGGAUCGCAAGACCUUGCGCUUUUUGAGCGGCCGAUGCCUGAUUAGCUAGUUGGUAAGGUAAAGGCUUACCAAGGCAACGAUCAGUAGCUGGUCUGAGAGGACGACCAGCCACACUGGGACUGAGACACGGCCCAGACUCCUACGGGAGGCAGCAGUGGGGAAUUUUGGACAAUGGGCGAAAGCCUGAUCCAGCAAUGCCGCGUGUGUGAAGAAGGCCUUCGGGUUGUAAAGCACUUUCAGUGGGGAGAAAGGGGUGGAAGCUAAUAUCUUUCAUCAUUGAUGUUACCCACAGAAGAAGCACCGGCUAACUCUGUGCCAGCAGCCGCGGUAAUACAGAGGGUGCAAGCGUUAAUCGGAAUGACUGGGCGUAAAGCGUGUGUAGGUGGUUAGAUAAGUUAGAUGUGAAAUCCCCGGGCUUAACCUGGGAACUGCGUUUAAGACUGUCUAGCUAGAGUACUGUAGAGGAUAGUGGAAUUUCCAGUGUAGCGGUGAAAUGCGUAGAUAUUGGAAAGGAACACCAGUGGCGAAGGCGACUAUCUGGAUAGAUACUGACACUGAGACACGAAAGCGUGGGGAGCAAACAGGAUUAGAUACCCCUGGUAGUCCAUGCUGUAAACUAUGAGAACUUGCUGUUGGAUGCAUAAAGGCAUUUAGUAGCGAAGCAAACGCGUUAAGUUCUCCGCCUGGGGAGUACGGUCGCAAGACUAAAACUCAAAGGAAUUGACGGGGGCCCGCACAAGCGGUGGAGCAUGUGGUUUAAUUCGAUGCAACGCGAAGAACCUUACCUACUCUUGAAUCCACGGAAUCUUGCAGAGAUGUGAGAGUGCCUUCGGGAACCGUGAGACAGGUGCUGCAUGGCUGUCGUCAGCUCGUGUCGUGAGAUGUUGGGUUAAGUCCCGUAACGAGCGCAACCCUUGUCCUUAGUUACUAACGGGUAAUGCUGAGAACUCUAAGGAGACCGCCGGUGAUAAACCGGAGGAAGGAGGGGAUGAUGUCAGGUCAGCGUGGCCCUUACGUCCGGGGCUACACACACGCUACAAUGGGUGGUACAACGAGUUGCGAAGGGGCGACCCGGAGCCAAUCUCAUCAAAACCAUCCUCAGUUCGGAUCGCAGGCUGCAACCCGCCUGCGUGAAGCCGGAGUUGCUAGUAAACGCAGGUCAGCAUUACUGCGUUGAAUACUGUUCCCGGGCCUUGCACUCACC
rnacentral:rRNA from 1 species